AGCUGGACUUACAAAUGCUGGGCGGCGAGACCGAAGCUCCUCUUCAGCUGUUUCUUCCAACCACCAUGAUGUUUAACAAUUAUAGUUUUAUUUUAUUUCCUUUUGUCGAGCAGAACGAUUUCAUGGUGCAGAGUUUUCGGAUAUCGUGAAAUAUACAGCACAGAACAUACGCAUGAAGGAGUUAUGGCCGUCUAAGAUAGUGAAGUAAAGUCAAGAGCGAGCUGUGGUGGAGCAUUUCUAAUUGAGGAGGAGGAGGAGGUCGGCGGCACACACGCCGCAGCGCCACGGCCGGCUGUCCUGCGUGUUCUGGAUGGAUCCGGCUGGAUCCGGUCCCACACCCACACAGAUGAUCUGGGGCCUCCAAUGGAGCCACUUUAACGGAGGCAAACAAAUGGCUGCCGUAGGUUCUCCAGGAGCGGAGUGGUCUGCGGAGACGGUGAGAUUUUAGAUUUCCUCAUACGCACUUCUCUGUUCCAUCGCGGAGAGACACUGAGAAUGAGAUAACGCCGUAGGGACGGAUUUUUCUCCUCUGUUUUUUCCAGCAUAUCACUGUUGCAGCCUAUAAUGGGGCUGCUCAAUCCGCCCGUACCUGCAUAAUCAAGAGGGGGAAAAAAAACACAAUCCACUAGUUUGGGCUAUUUCUGAAAACUGAAUGCAGACACACUCAGAGCCAGAUGCCAGUGAGCAGGAGUCUAAAACUAUUCUGUGAUAGUUUAGGAUUUCCUUCUCUCCAUAAGCCGGCCAUUGUGUUGCUUGCCAGCUGCUUACCAAAUGAGGUUAUAGUGUUUCCCUAUCAACUGUAAAUUUCAAUAAUUUGUCAGAGGGGCCUCUCACUGUCAGUUUUUAUCAUAUUAUCAAUGACUACUCAAUUUUCCUGUGCCACUCCAACUCAAGCGCUGACCCCCGGCCCUUUACAGUCCUGUAAUGAAGUGCAAUGGAGUGGUAAUUGGUCCACAUUAUACCAGAUCAGGUAACAUUAGACUUAUUUUCUUAUCACAAUGAGCGCUGCCGGUGACUCUCAAUGAGAAACCAAACACAGUUCCUUUCUUAUGCAGGCUAUCGUCCAAAUAACAUUUCAGCUCCAGACCCUUUUUCCCCAUUUCAGUUUUCCAUUUCAAGAUUGCACCCCGUGUCCUCGGCCUGCGCUUUGUCUCCCGCUUCCUCCGCUUUAAAAAGCCUCCCAAACGGCAUCAAGUACGAGGUAGAGCUU